GGGGAUUUAGCUCAGCGGCAUAAGCACCUGCUUUGCAAGCAGAUAGCCGUGGAUUCAAUCCCCA
rnacentral:tRNA from 1 species